rnacentral:rRNA from 1 species
AUACGUAGGUGGCGAGCGUUAUCCGGAUUUACUGGGUGUAAAGGGCGUGUAGGCGGGAGUGCAAGUCAGGCGUGAAAACCAUGGGCUCAACCCAUGGCCUGCGUUUGAAACUGUAUUUCUUGAGUGAUGGAGAGGCAGGCGGAAUUCCGUGUGUAGCGGGGAAAUGCGGAGAUAUACGGAGGAACACCAGUGGCGAAGGCGGCCUGCUGGACGACAACUGACGCUGAGGCGCGAAAGCGUGGGGAGCAAACAGGAUUAGAUACCCUGGUAGUCCACGCUGUAAACGAUGAAUACUAGGUGUGGGGGGACUGACCCCCUCCGUGCCGCAGUUAACACAAUAAGUAUUCCGCCUGGGGAGUACGAUCGCAAGAUUGAAACUCAAAGGAAUUGGCGGGG